UUUCAGGUGUGAAUUUCAGGAUUUUUUACGUACCAACAUCAGGAUUUUUCAUGUACCAAUUUCGGGAUUUUUCAUGUACCAAUUUCAGGAUUUUUCCGGUGUGAAUUUCAGGAUUUUUCAGGUGUGAGUUUCGGGAUUUUUCAUGUACCAAUUUCAGGGAUUUUCAUGUACCAAUUUCGGGGUUUUUCAGGUGUGAAUUUCGGGAUUUUUCAUGUACCAAUUUCAGGGUUUCUCAUGUACCAAUUUCGGGAUUUUUCAUGUACCAAUUUCGGGAUUUUUCAUGUACCAAUUUCAGGAUUUUUCGUGUACCAAUUUCGGGAUUUUUCAUGUACCAAUUUCAGGAUUUUUCAGGUGUGAAUUUCAGGAUUUUUCAGGUGUGAAAUUCGGGGUUUUUCAGGUGUGAAUUCCGGGAUUUUUCAGGUGUGAAUUUCAGGAUUUUUCAUGUACCAAUUUCGGGAUUUUUCAAGUGUGAAUUUCGGGGUUUUUCAGGUGUGAAUUCUGUGUUUCCCAGGUGCUCCCUCACCU